rnacentral:rRNA from 1 species
GACGAACGCUGGCGGCGUGCUUAACACAUGCAAGUCGAACGAGGCCCCUCCUUCGGGAGGGUGUCCUAGUGGCGAACGGGUGAGUAACACGUGGGCAACCUGCCCCCGGCUCUGGGAUAACCCCAAGAAAUUGGGGCUAAUACCGGAUAUGACCGCUGACCGCAUGGUCUGGUGGUGGAAAGAUUUUUUCGGCGGGGGAUGGGCCCGCGGCCUAUCAGCUUGUUGGUGGGGUAGUGGCCUACCAAGGCGACGACGGGUAGCCGGCCUGAGAGGGUGACCGGCCACACGGGGACUGAGACACGGCCCAGACUCCUACGGGAGGCAGCAGUGGGGAAUAUUGCGCAAUGGGCGGAAGCCUGACGCAGCGACGCCGCGUGGGGGAUGACGGCCUUCGGGUUGUAAACCUCUUUCAGCAGGGACGAAGCGAAAGUGACGGUACCUGCAGAAGAAGCACCGGCCAACUACGUGCCAGCCGCCGCAGUAA